UACGUAGGGGGCAAGCGUUGUCCGGAUUUAUUGGGCGUAAAGAGCGUGUAGGCGGCUGGGUAGGUCCGCUGUGAAAACUCGAGGCUUAACCUCGAGACGUCGGUAGGAAACCAUCCAGCUAGAGUCCGGAAGAGGAGAGUGGAAUUCCUGGAUGUAGCGGUGAAAUGCGCAGAUAUCAGGAAGAACACCCGUGGCGAAGGCGGUUCUCUGGGCCUUACCUGACGCUGAGGAGCGAAAGCGUGGGGAGCGAACAGG
rnacentral:rRNA from 1 species